rnacentral:rRNA from 1 species
UCGAACGCGAAAGUUUCCUUUCGGGAGGCGAGUAGAGUGGCGCACGGGUGAGUAACACGUAGGUAAUCUACCUUUGGAUGGGGAAUAACAACCGGAAACGGUUGCUAAUACCGCAUAAUGCAGCGGCACCUAAUGGUGACAGUUGUUAAAGCGGGGGAUCGAAAGACCUCGCGUCUGAAGAGGAGCCUGCGGCGGAUUAGCUAGUUGGUAAGGUAAUGGCUUACCAAGGCGAUGAUCCGUAACCGGCCUGAGAGGGCGGUCGGUCACACUGACACUGACAUACGGGUCAGACUCCUACGGGAGGCAGCAGUCGGGAAUUUUGGGCAAUGGGCGAAAGCCUGACCCAGCAACGCCGCGUGAAGGAUGAAAUCCCUCGGGAUGUAAACUUCGCAAGAACAGGAAGAAUAAGUAGGGGACAAUACCCCCUAUGAUGACGGUACUGUUUGUAAGCUCCGGCUAACUCCGUGCCAGCAGCCGCGGUAAUACGGGGGGAGCAAGCGUUGUUCGGAUUUACUGGGCGUAAAGGGCGUGUAGGCGGCCACCGCAAGUCGGUUGUGAAAUCUCCGGGCUUAACCCGGAAAGGUCAACCGAUACUGCGGGGCUAAAGUGCAGAAGGGGCAACUGGAAUUCUCNGUGUAGCGGUGAAAUGCGUAGAUAUCGAGAGGAACACCUGCGGCGAAGGCGGGUUGCUGGGCUGACACUGACGCUGAAACGCGAAAGCUAGGGGGAGCGAACGGGAUUAGAUACCCCGGUA